UACGUAGGGUGCAGGCGUUAAUCGGAAUUACUGGGCGUAAAGCGUGCGCAGGCGGUUUUGUAAGUCUGAUGUGAAAUCCCCGGGCUCAACCUGGGAAUUGCAUUGGAGACUGCAAGGCUAGAAUCUGGCAGAGGGGGGUAGAAUUCCACGUGUAGCAGUGAAAUGCGUAGAGAUGUGGAGGAACACCGAUGGCGAAGGCAGCCCCCUGGGUCAAGAUUGACGCUCAUGCACGAAAGCGUGGGGAGCAAACAGG
rnacentral:rRNA from 1 species